rnacentral:lncRNA from 1 species
UUGAAACCCGACCCGGUUAACAAUAAUGCCAAGGAGAUUCGUUACAGAGGCGUUAGGAAGAGGCCAUGGGGCCGUUAUGCCGCGGAGAUCCGAGAUCCGGGUAAGAAAACCCGGGUCUGGCUCGGUACUUUCGAUACCGCUGAAGAGGCGGCGCGUGCUUACGAUGCGGCGGCGCGUGAUUUCCGUGGGGCCAAGGCUAAGACCAAUUUCCCCAAUUUUCUCGAGCUGAGUGAGAAGAUGCCGGCUGCCGGCGGCGGGUUCGAGCGUAGCCCUAGCCAGAGCAGCACCCUCGAUUGCGCUUCUCCUCCGGCGGCGGUUACGCCGGCGAGUGCUGUGAUUGUUCCGCCGCAGCUCGAGCUUCGCCUCGGCGGCUAUCAGAUCCCGAUGGCGCGUCCUGUUUACUUCUUGGACGUUAUGGGAGUAGGCAACGGAGGUCGUGCUCCGCCUCCGGUGGCGUCGGCUUUUAGGUUGCCGGUGAUGCAUGUGGCUACAAAGGUGGCUUGUGUGGCUCAGAGCGACUCUGAUUCGUCGUCGGUUGUUGAUUUCGAAGGUGUGAUGGAG